rnacentral:lncRNA from 1 species
UUGACCAACCUUCACAUUUACAAGAUCAACAAGUUCAGUAUCUUCAUCGUUGCUCUUCAUUUCAAAAGAUUCAUCACGUUCAUUCUUCACAGGAAGGAAUUCAAAGUAAGCCAUGUUAGGGAGUAAUGUGUAGGAGAUAUCAUAAGGUUUGCAUAGAGGUUCUAAGUUAAGCCCACAAAAAGUUUCCGAGCAAGCAUAGAAAGCUGAAACUAAAGGGAGCCCUCGGCAAUAGAACUCAAGUUCUGUAGUAUACUGUCUCAUAGCGCCAGUACAAAUACAACCAAUAUACCGUGCUUUAGUCCAUAGCUUUCUGAUUAUUCCUUCCCAUGAUUUAUAAUUGCAUAUGCUCUCUAUCAAGUCAGCUUGCUCUGGAUUAGGCUUCAUGAUCAAUGAUGCUGCAUUUCUGCAUCCUGAGUCGGUGAUCCAAUCGCUUAAUCGACCUGUUUUUAUGUCAUAGCAUAGCUCUUGCCAGUGAUUUUCUAGAAACUUGAUACCUCUUAGCACCGUAGAUGCAAAGAGUGAACCAACCUUGACAACCUCGUCUCGUUGGAUUAAACCAAAAAGUAAUUGACAGUAUAAGCCCUGGUUGGGGUCUGGGCAAAAGAUGGUCUCAAUGGGGCUUGUGUAAAGCUUAGGCAAAUUGGUUCUAAACUUACUCUCGCUGUACAUCCUCGUUGAAAAAGUUGCUGCCUUGAGGCCACUAGGAGUUUCAAUCUCUGGUCUGGCAAACAUAAGCUCCAUUCUUUUACCGGCUUGGUUGAUGUCACCGAAGUGCCUUUAAAAUUAGACGGAUAAAGGCUUGUUUAAAAUGAUAUGACUUUAAUUAAUGAAAAUUAGAAAUUUUAUUACAUUUGUGUAUGUAAGGAAAUCACAUAUUUAGAAUAUAAAGACUUGUUUAAAAAUAAUAUACAAUAAAUAAUUUAGAACUAAUUAUUAGUAACACGUGAAAUAUCUGUGAUAUUAAAAUAAAAUAAAAAAUAGAUUAAGUUGUGAGUAAUAUGAAAUUUAAACAUAAAAACACAUCAGAUUAAAAAUACUAAAUUAAUAUAAUUGUUUAUCAUUGUUGUGUUAUCAGUCCUGAGUUGGUGUUUUGUUAAUUUGUGACAAUAACUCAAUCAAGAACAUUGUUAACAAGAAAUUCUAUCAAACAUGUAUGCAUGUGGAAAUUGCGUAUUUAGAAUACAAUAUAUACAAUUGAUGGAGGUAAUAAAUUGUGCAUAAUAAAAUUAAAACGUAUAAAGAAAUAAAAAAAAAGUUUGGUUGAGUGGUAAAUUUAAAGCUGUACCAAUGCAAUUGGUGUGGAUUCAAAUCUCACAAUAUGAAUAGAUUUUAUUAAAAAACUAAAAUAUCGUUAAAUAAUAUAAUUUAUUUUAAGUACGGAAUUUUAUUUUUAUAAUUUUCCUAACUAAACAUGUGGUGCUCAGUUAACAUGUGACACCAACUUAAUUAAGGAGUUUAAUACAAAAAAUUAAAAAAUAUAUAUUCUUGUUUGAAAGCUAAAAUUAUAUAUAUUUUUUAAGGAAGCUAAAAUAUUAUUAUAUCAUAGAAAAUAAUGCUAUAUUGUAUAAUAUUUAAAUAUAUAAUAAACUUAUAUUAGUACUAUGCAUAAGUAUACAUAUUUAAAUAAAUAAUGAUAUUGUAAUAUAUAUAUAUAUAAUAUAUUGGGUUAAUAUUUGGUAUAUUAGUAGUGAGUUUAUUUUAUUUUACAAAUAAUUAAAAAAAUUCAUGUCUUUUUUUUUAAAUAUUUAUUUUCUUUAAUAUUUUAUUAUAUCCUAUAUAAUAUGGAUCAACCUGUUAACAUUACUUGUAGAGUCUAAAAACUCUACUCGCAACGUGUCAAAUAUUUUCCCUAAUACAUUUAAUAUAUUAUAAUAUGUUUAAUAUCAGUUGCGAAUUAAAUAUAUCAUUAAUAUAAUGUUUUAUUUAAUAUUAAAAUGGAUUAUUAUCCUAUCAGAGUUUGAAUCUUCUAAUUAACAAUAUAAUUUAAUAGUUCACUUUAAGCAAAAGUGUUCAUGAUUUUAGCUUAAAUAUGAUAUUACCGUAUUUUAUAUUUAUCUAAGUUUAGCCCGAUUUGAAAUAUGGAUUUAAAAUUGUCCAAGCUCCCUAUAGUUAUAAAUGUUUAACUUAAGUUUACUUUUAUUUUUUGGAAUUUUUUAAUAUAUAUUAUUUUUAUCUAAUAUUUAAUAUUUUUAUAUAUUUUUUAUUUAUUAAAAUUUUAUACAUAAUUAUCUUAAUAUUUACAUUAUAAUAUUAUAUAUGAGUUAGUAUUGGGUUGUCUUUAUUGAGGAGAAUGUUUUUAAAGAAAAAACUAUACAAAUAGUUAAUUAUAAAAAAAUUCAUUUUAGACACUAAAAAAUAUUUACAGUUUAAACACCCACGUUACCUAGUUUGGCCAUUUUGGUCCCUCCCGUUAAAAUCACCAACAGAAGGCUGAUGUGGCAAUUAAAAGAAUUGGUAUAAAAAUAAAUUUAGCCCUUAACAUAUUAUAUCAAUUUAGUAAUUAAUAUAAUUAUAUUUAUUUAAUAUUAAUAUUAUUAAUAUAGAUUUUAAAUUUAUUAUUGUUAUAAAUAUUUUUUUAUUAGGUGGAUGUCCAUCAAUAUCAAGAUAAAUUUUAUGUACUUCAAGACUCUUAAGACUAAUUAGAAGUAGAGUUUAUUUCAUUUAUAUGUAUUAUGUCUAUAAAUAUGGAUUUUGGAACAACAUUGUACACAUCUCCAUUGAUCAAUAAAAAUAUGCAUUUCUCUUUGUUCUCCUAUUUCUUUUUUUUACUUUUAUUAUUAUUAUUUAUUUAAUAACAAUUAUUAUAAUUUUUUGAAAAUAUUUAUGUUUUUUUUUUAUUUUUUUUAGAAAUAAGAUUAAAUUGAGAUUGUAAAUUUUGAGGGUUAACGUUUUAAAAUUAUGACUAAAUUGAUAUAAUAUGUAAAAAUUUAAAACUAAAUUUAUUAUUAUACCAAAUUUUUUAACUACCACGCCAACAUUUGUGAUUUUAACUGGGACCGAACUAACUAUAUAAUGUGAUUGCUUAACUAACAAUUUUUUAUUUUGAACUUUUAAUUGGUAGAUGAGUAACUACGUAGUUUACCUGUAUCUUUUUAUUUAAUCGGAGAAGUAAGCCGCAAUUUAUUGUUAAUGGCAACUCUAGGCAGGGAUUUUUAUCCGUAAUUGAGCAAUGAGUAAAAGGUUUGAUUUCACAUGCAGCUGAAUGAAAAACUGAAGAAAAGAAAUUGAUAUGGGUUCAUACCUCAUCGUCGGAGACUCGCUGAAGGUUCCAACUAAUGGCCCCUUCUUAAGAUAUUCAGCAGUGACAGGAAUCAGCUUUGGCUGCCCGCCUGAAGUCCCAGAGCUGCAUUUGAUCAAACAGAUGAUAGAACUAUUAGAAGGAAGCAAACAAUACCCCAAAACACACAGAAGCAAAGCAACAAAUUCAUGCAUGCCUUAGAUAGAACCCUGUAACGGGUUCAGCUACAAGGAUAUCUGAUGUCUCCCCAUUAGCAAUCCUAUCUAUGUAAGGCUUGAGAUCUUCAUACGUAACUAUGGGAACAUGUUUCUUAAAGAGCUGCUUCUCGGUUUGCCCAUGGAGGAAUCCCCUUAAAUACUCUGUUCCUGCAUUUCUACUUAGUAUUUCCCCCAAUUCCUGGUCUUGAAUUUGCUCAGCAUUUGUGGUCAGUUCCUCAAUCAUCUUCAACCCACCUUCGUACCCAUUCGUUGCCAUCAACCCUAUUACUGAGAUCCACACAGCUUUUUCUGUUUUCUUUUUGGGGAUGCUCUGGCUAUUGGCAAUGGAAUCUCUACCUACGCUAAAUAUAAUAAGAUUCAUGGGACUUGACCCACACAUGUCAGCACGCAUAAUAAACAAUGUGGCAUCAAUGAAAUGAUUAAAACAUGAAUUAGUAAUAUAUUAAAUAUAUUAAAACUAAGCAUGUGAAAGUUGAAUUUAAUGGAAUUGAGUACUAAUUUUACGCCGAAAGUGGUUUAGUUGAUUUUUAAAUGUGAAACAUGUUUUAUUAAUAUUAAAAUAACCAACAUACAUUGUGCUUGGUAUAGAUCAAAUGGAUAAUAGAAAUUUUUUAUCUGUUUGCAGACAAUUUUCUUCCUUUGGUUUGCAUUAUCUGGUUGGAUGUUUCGAUGCUUAAUAUUUGCCACAUGGAUACUACCAUUUGCUCAUUGCUGGACCUCUUCUCAUUGGGACUGUUGCCAAUAAUCUUGUUAUUAAGGUAUCACUUACUGCUAUAAGAUGGCGUAUGUAAUGCAAGACAUAAGGGAUGACUUCUGCAACAUGCGUUCAUCCUUCCCAUAACAUGAUUUAAAUUGUUUAGUUUUUUAUCACUUGUUUUUUACUUGUAAAAGGCGACACUGGGUAAGCUUUUUCCAUAACAUGUGGAAUCGUAUGAUCAUUUAUUUGGUAUAGUAGUAGGGAAUUUAUUUAUUUUUACAAGUAAUUAUAAAAAAAUUAUCAUUUAUCUUUUUUUAUUAAAUAUUUUAUUAUACCUGAUUGUGGAGUUUAAAAACUCUACUUGCAAUGUGCCAAAAUUUUUCUCUAAUAUGUUUAAUAUCAGUUACGAAUUAAAUAUAUCAUUAAUUAAAAUGAAUUGUGAUCCUAUCAGAGUUUUGAAUCUUCUAAUCAACAAUAUAAUUUAAUAGUUCACUUUAAGUAGAAGUGUUCAUGAGUUUGACUUAAAUAUGAUAUCGACAAAUUUUAUAUUUAUCUAAGUUUAGCUCGACUUGAAAUAUGGAUUUAAAAUUGUCUAAGCUCGUCUAUAUUUGUAAAUGUUUAACUUAAGUUCAUUUUAAGUUUACUUAUAUUUUUUGAAAUUUUUAAAAAAUACAUAUUAUUUUUAUUUAAUAUUCAAUAUUUUUAUAUAUAAUUAUCUUACUAUUUUUUUAAUAUUUACAUUAUAAUAUUAUAUAUGAGUUAGUAUUUGGUACACUAAUAUUGUACUUUUUUUAAAAAAUAUUUAUUUUUUAAUGUUUUAUCAUACUCCUAUAGGCUAUAAGACACUUGACAACUCUUACCUUAUUUGUGAAGUCUAAAAACUUCACUCGUAGUGUACCAAUUAUUUUCUCAUUAUAUAUAUUACUAUACAUUUAAUUUUUAAACACUGAAAUUUAUUUAGAACUUUCAAAAAGAAAAAAACAAAUAAUCACUUAAUUAUAAAAAGAAAAAAAGAAAAUCAUUUUAGACAUUAAGAAAAAGUUUACAAUUUAAACAUCCAUGUUACCUAGUUUGACCGUUUUGGUUCUUCUCGUUAAAAUCACAAAUGGAAUGCUGACGUAGCAAUUAAAAAAGUCGAUAUAAUAUCCAGUUUAUCCCUCAACAUAUGAUAUUAAUUUAGUUAUAAUUUUAAAAGAUUAAACCUUAAAAUUUACAAAUAGACUCAAUUUCAUCCUGAUUCUAAAAAAGUUCAACGAAAUAUAUAAAAAUACAUAAAUAUUUUUAAGAAAUAUAAUCUAAAAUUCUAAGUAUGUCUUGUUUAGGGAAGUUGUCCUUUUUUUCCUUUUUAGAGAAUUAUUUUGGGGUUUUAAUUUCAUUAGAGAAUUCUCUAUAAGGCAAUUCAAACAUUCUUAGUAAAUUAAAAUUUUUCUUUCUUUCCAUAGCCUCUACAACCAAGGAAGGGAGGGAGGGAGGUGGGAGAUUUUUAUUUUAUUUAAUAAUUAAUAUUACUAAUAUAAAUAUAAAUUUUAAAUUUAUUAUUAUUAUAAAUAUUUUUUUAUUAGGUGGGGAUUUCCAUCAGUAUCAAUAUAAGUUUGAUGUACUUCAAGACUCUAAGAUUAAUUAGAAGUAGAGUUUAUUUCAUUUAUAUGUCUUAUGUGUUAUGUCUAUAAAUAUAGAUUUUGGUUGUGAUGAAUAUACGAGAAAUUGUUGAAUGCCCUAGGAUGAUUUAGAUAUAGUUGACAUGUCAAUAAAAACUAUUAGCAAUAUCACGUCUAUUUCGUGUACGGGAUUAAUUAAGUAUGAGAUGUGUAUAAUAUGGAGAUUGAUAUUGCACUUUUGUGCUCAUUUGGUGUAGUGGAGGUUAAUGCCAUGUUUGUAAUGAUAUGUGCUAUCGAGGGAAGGAUUCUAUGAUACGAUUGCACUUUAUGCACUUGGUGUGGUGUAAUUUUGUAUUGUAUGUGCUAUAUGGUGCGGUGGUUUAAUUGUUUCGUAUAUUCGAUUUUCGAAUUAAUUACAGCAAAUAAAUGAGUAAAGAUAAAGUUCAUCGAUGAACUUAUACAAAUUGCUAACUGAAGGGGCAUAGACAUGUUUAAAAGACAAGUUGAACGAGCAUGAAGAUUAAAGAUAAUGUUCAUCGAUUUUUCCAACAUCCCAUAUGAGUGAAUCUCGAUGUACUUAGAAACAUUUCACUGCACCUGUGAAUCUCAAAGGACUUUAUUAGCUUCCAAGAUAUCAUGUAGCAAAGCUGACAUGGUAUGUUUAUCUGAUUGUAUGUCCCUACUUAACAUUUCAGACAUUAACACAUGCCUACACAAUAAAGUGAAAAGGAUUAUUCUCCUGAGCUUUUAAACAAGAAAUGAUGCAAACUAAUUAUAACGGUGGUUUGGGGCUGAAAUACGUUCCUAUCACUCUCGAAUCUAAUAUCUUCAAGGCUUCCUCAGAUUUAAUGCAACUAGGUUUUUUGUAUUGGCUCAAUGAAGUUCCUUUGGACACAAAAUAAUCCAUUAGUGCCUCAAAACUUCCUUGCUUUACCACCCUAAUCUCCAGAGCUGCAAUUAUGUUCCUUUUCCUAUAGAUUUUAUAUGUAUAAUGCAAUGACUCUUCCAUUCUAGAGCAACACUCUACCAUUAUCUUUGGGUCAAGCUCUUUGCAAUGCUUCCCUUCUUUUCCCUUGAUCUCCCAAAAUAAGACAUAGUGACCUGGUGCUGAAGAAGUAUCAACAUAGCUAGUGUACUCUGUCAAGAUGAAUCCGAGUGGAUCGAGAAGAGCCUUUGCUUCUGUCACAGCCUUGAAAAGGUCUGUUUCGCUUGUUUUUUCCUGAUCAACACUUAGGAGAACAUUUUUCCUCUCCACAAAUUGGAAUUGAGGUGCAUUAUUGUAGAAACCACUCACCAUAAGAACAUCUCCUACUUUAUAUCGAUAUAAUCCUGAAAGGAAUAUCAUCAAACUAGAUUAGAUCAUUAUCUAACAGGUUACUGUAGAAGCUAGGAAGCAUAAUUCAAAAUCAGAACAUGGCAUUUGAUUAAUUGGUUAUAUUCAAAAGAGGAGCUUUUACCUGCACAAGUUGUGACAACUAGUUCAUAACAUUGGCCAGCCUUCACAUUUACAAGAUCAACAAGUUCAGUAUCUUCAUCGUUGCUCUUCAUUUCAAAAGAUUCAUCACGUUCAUUCUUCACAGGAAGGAAUUCAAAGUAAGCCACGUUAGGGAGUAAUGUGUAGGAGACAUCACAAGGUUUGCAUAGAGGUUCUAAGUUAAGCCCACAAAAAGCUUCCGAGCAAGCAUAGAAAGCUGAAACUAAAGGGAGCCCUCGGCAAUAGAACUCAAGUUCUGUAGUAUACUGUCUCAUAGCGCCAGUACAAAUACAACCAAUAUACCUUGCUUUAGUCCAUAGCUUUCUGAUUAUUCCUUCCCAUGAUUUAUAAUUGCAUAUGCUCUCUAUCAAGUCAGCUUGCUCUGGAUUAGGCUUCAUGAUCAAUGAUGCUGCAUUUCUGCAUCCUGAGUCGGUGAUCCAAUCGCUUAAUCGACCUGUUUUUAUAUCAUAGCAUAGCUCUUGCCAGUGAUUUUCUAGAAACUUGAUACCUCUUAGCACCGUAGAUGCAAAGAGUGAACCAACCAUGACAACCUCGUCUCGUUGGAUUAAACCAAAAAGUAAUUGACAGUAUAAGCCCUGGUUGGGGUCUGGGCAAAAGAUGGUCUCAAUGGGGCUUGUGUAAAGCUUAGGCAAAUUGGUUCUAAACUUACUCUCGUUGUAUAUGCUCGUUGAAACAGAUGCUGCCUUGAGGCCACUAGGAGUUUCAAUCUCUGGUCUGGCAAACAUAAGCUCCAUUCUUUUACCGGCUUGGUUGAUGUCACCGAAGUGCCUUUAAAAUUAGACGGAUAAAGGCUUGUUUAAAAUGAUAUGACUUUAAUUAAUGAAAAUUAGAAAUUUUAUUACAUUUGUAUACAUAAGGAAAUCACAUAUUUAGAAUAUAAAGACUUGUUUAAAAAUAAUAUACAAUAAAUAAUUUAGAACUAAUUAUUAGUAACACGUGAAAUAUCUGUGAUAUUAAAAUAAAAUAAAAAAUAGAUUCAGUUGUGAGUAAAAUGAAAUUUAAACAUAAAAACACAUCAGAUUAAAAAUACUAAAUUAAGGGUCUGUUUGAUUGCCAGUAAAAUAUUUUCCGUAAAAUGAUUUCUGGAAAAUGUUUUACUUUUCUGUAAAAUGAUUUACUGAAAAAUAUUUUCUGGUGUUUGAUUGAAUCUGUGUAAAAUAUUUUCUGCUGCUUGGCAGAUUUUUUGAAAAUAUUUUUCGGAAAAGUUGUUUUUACAUAUAUUAAUAUAUAUUAAUAAAUUUUUAUAUUUUAAAUUAUUUUUACAUAUAUUGCAAUGAUUUAUUUAUAAUAAUACUCAAUUAUUAAGCUACAAUAUUAAUCGUUAUAAAUUGAAAAAACUAAUACCAAAUAAAUUAUUUGUAAUUGUGUUAAAAAAACAAGUAUUGAAUAAUUAAAAAAACAAGUUACUGGAAAAUCGAUAAACAGAAGCAGUUUUCUACCGGAAAUGAAGGAAGGAAUGAAGGAGGCGAUAGAGAGGAGAGCACGGAAAAUGUCUUACGGAAAUUGAAAGGGUAAGACAUUUUCCCUAAAAUGUAACCUAUUUUCCCUUGUUUUGGAGUUCAUUUUCCAAAUGGAAAAUGUUUUCCGCCAAUCAAACGCUGGAAAAGUUGGAAAUGAUUUUCCGGAAAAUCAAUUCCGUCAAUCAAACAGACCCUAAUAUAAUUGUUUAUCAUUGUUGUGUUAUCAGUCCUGAGUUGGUGUUUUGUUAAUUUGUGACAAUAACUCAAUCAAGAACAUUGUUAAUAAGGGAGGGUUCGGGUAAAAAUAUAGGCCCGAAAUAUGGGCUUUGGCAAAAAAGCGAGGCCCGUUUAAAAAAUGGGCCGGGCUCGAGCUCAACUUUUUUGGCCCGGGGCCGGCCCGAAUAUAAUAAAUAUUUUUUUAUUUUUAUUUUUAUUUUUUAAUUUUAAAAUACUUUAAAAAUAUUUUUAUAAUAUUUUUAUUAUUUUUUAUUUUUUAAAAUAUUUUUUUUGUGUUUAUUAAAAACCGGGCCAGGCUCGGGCUUAUUAUUUUUUUCCCGGGCCGGGCCUAGGCAAAAUUUCAGGCCCAUAUUUCGGGCCAGGUCAGGCCCGGGCCUAAGAGUCGGGCCGAAUUUUUUUCCCGGGCCCCGCCCGAACUCGGCUCGGCCCGGCCCAUGGACAGGCCUAGUUUGGAUUCAAAUCUCACAAUAUGAAUAGAUUUUAUUAAAAAGGUAAAAUAUCGUUAAAUAAUAUAAUUUAUUUUAAGUACGGAAUUUUAUUUUUAUAAUUUUCCUAACUAAACAUGUGGUGCUCAGUUAACAUGUGACACCAAUUUAAUUAAGGAAUUUAUUAAUUAGUAUAAAUACAAAAAAUUAAAAAAUAUAUUCUUGUUUGAAAGCUAAAAUUAUAUAUAUUUUUAGGGAAGCUAAAAUAUUAUUAUAUCAUAGAAAAUAAUGCUAUAUUGUAUAAUAUUUAAAUAUAUAAUAAACUUAUAUUAGUACUAUGCAUAAGUAAUAUAUAUAAUAUAUUGGGUUAAUAUUUGGUAUAUUAGUAGUGAGCUUAUUUUAUUUUACAAAUAAUUAAAAAAAAUUCAUUUGUCUUUUUUUUUAAUAUUUAUUUUUUUAAUAUUUUAUUAUAUCCUAUAUAAUAUGUAUCAACCUGUUAACCUUACUUGUAGAGUCUAAAAACUCUACUUGCAACGUGCCAAAUAUUUUCCCUAAUACAUUUAAUAUAUUAUAACAUGUUUAAUAUCAGUUGCGAAUUAAAUAUAUCAUUAAUAUAAUGUUUUAUUUAAUAUUAAAAUGGAUUAUUAUCCUAUCAGAGUUUGAAUCUUCUAAUCAACAAUAUAAUUUAAUAGUUCACUUUAAGCAAAAGUGUUCAUGAUUUUAGCUUAAAUAUGAUAUUAACGAAUUUUAUAUUUAUCUAAGUUUAGCCCGAUUUGAAAUAUGGAUUUAAAAUUGUCCAAGCUCCCCUAUAAUUGUAAAUGUUUAACUUAAGUUUACUUUUAUUUUUUGGAAUUUUUUAAUAUAUAUUAUUUUAUCUAAUAUUUAAUAUUUUAUAUAUAUUUUUAUUUAUUAAAAUUUUAUACAUAAUUAUCUUAAUAUUUACAUUAUAAUAUUAUAUAUGAGUUAGUAUUGGGCUGUCUUUAUUGAGGAGAACUUUUUUAAAGAAAAAACUAUACAAAUAGUUACUCAGUUAUAAAAAAAUUCAUUUUAGACACUAAAAAAUAUUUACAAUUUGAACACCCACGAUACCUAGUUCGGCCAUUUUGGUCCCUCUCGUUAAAAUCACCAACAGAAGGCUGAUGUGGCAAUUAAAAGAAUUGGUGUAAUAAUAAAUUUAGCCCUUAACAUAUUAUAUCAAUUUAGUAAUUAAUAUAAUUAUAUUUAUUUAAUAUUAAUAUUAUUAAUAUAAAUUUUAAAUUUAUUAUUGUUAUAAAUAUUUUUUUAUUAGGUGGAUGUCCAUCAAUAUCAAGAUAAAUUUUAUGUACUUCAAGACUCUUAAGACUAAUUAGAAGUAGAGUUUAUUUCAUUUAUAUGUAUUAUGUCUAUAAAUAUGGAUUUUGGAACAACAUUGUACACAUCUCCAUUGAUCAAUAAAAAUAUGCAUUUCUCUUUGUUCUCCUAUUUCUUUUCUUUCUUUUUUUACUUUUAUUAUUAUUAUUUAUUUAAUAACAAUUAUUAUAAUUUUUUGAAAAUAUUUAUGUUUUAUUUUUAUUUUUUUAGAAUUAAGAUCAAAUUGAGAUUGUAAAUUUUGAGGGUUAAUGUUUUAAAAUUAUGACUAAAUUGAUAUAAUAUGUAAAAAUUUAGGGCUAAAUUUAUUAUUAUACCGAUUUUUUUAACUACCAUGCUAACAUUUGUGAUUUUAAUUUUAACGGGAGCGAACAAAAUAGCCUAACUGAUUGCUUAACUAACAAUUUUUUUAUUUAUUUUUUAUUUUGAACUUUUAAUUGUUAGAUGAGUAACUACGUAGUUUACCUCUAUCUUUUUAUUUAAUCGGAGAAGUAAACCGCAAUUUAUUGUUAAUGGCAACUCUAGGCAAGGGAUUUUUAUCCGUAAUUGAGCAAUGAGUAAAAGGUUUGAUUUCACAUGCAGCUGAAUGAAAAACUGAAAAAAAGAAAUUGAUAUGGGUUCAUACCUCAUCAUCGGAGACUGGCCGAAGGUUCUAACUAAUGCCCCCUUCUUAUGAUAUUCAGCACUGACAGGAAUCAUCUUUGGCUGCCCGCCUGAAGUCCCAGAGCUGCAUUUGAUCAAACAGAUGAUAGAACUAUUAGAAGGAAGCAAACAAUACCCCAAAACACACAGAAGCAAAGCAACAAAUUCAUGCAUGCCUUAGAUAGAACCCUGUAACGGGUUCAGCUACAAGGAUAUCUGAUGUCUCCCCAUUAGCAAUCCUAUCUAUGUAAGGCUUGAGAUCUUCAUACGUAACUAUGGGAACAUGUUUCUUAAAGAGCUGCUUCUCGGUUUGACCAUGGAGGAAUCCCCUUAAAUACUCUGUUCCUGCAUUUCUACUUAGUAUUUCCCCCAAUUCCUGGUCUUGAAUUUGCUCAGCAUUUGUGGUCAGUUCCUCAAUCAUCUUCAACCCACCUUCAUACCCAUUCGUUGCCAUCAACCCUAUUACUGAGAUCCACACAGCAUUUUCUGUUUUCUUUUUGGGGAUGCUCUGGCUAUUGGCAAUGGAAUCUCUACCUACGCUAAAUAUAAUAAGAUUCAUGGGACUUGACCCACACAUGUCGGCAGGCAUAAUAAACAAUGAGGCAUCAGUGAAAUGAUUAAAACAUGAAUAUGUAAUAUAUUGAAACUAAGCAUGAGAAAGUUGAAUUUAAUGGAAUUGAGUACCAAUUUAUGCCUCUUCCAAUCUUCAAAAGCCAAUGUAACAACUAAUUUUACGCCGAAAGUGGUUUAGUUGAUUUUUAAAUAAUAUGUUUUUUAAUAUAUAUUGACUAAAGUGCUCUUUGCUGUCUUUCGACGGAAAUAAUUCAAACAAUUCUUAUUUAAAUAAUGAAUGUGAAACAUGCUUUAUUAAUAUUAAAAUAAAUAUAAUUAUAUUUUAAAAGAGAAUGCUUGUAGUCAUUCAUAUGUAGGUGGCCUAUUCACAAAGAUGGACGGACAAUACUUUUCUGAAGUGAGCGGGUGAUUCGUUUACAACAGUAAACACUUAUUUUAAGAAAAAGGAGGCAUGUCUUCAAAGAUAUGGGUUAUUUGAUAACUACUCAGAUAGUAAGAAAUAGAGAACUACCUUCUCAAAUGACUUGCAAUACUAACUCGUGUCCAUAACUAAAUAGGUAUAAUCAACUUCCUUUUCUUUUAAUUAUAUUUAAAGUGACUGCCAUUUUUAGAAUUAAGUUUUAAUAAUAAAUUAUAUUAAUUAAUAAAUACAAUCAAAUAAAUAUUAUUUUAAUUUACAUUUUUUAAACAAGUAAAUGUAUUGUUUUUUCUCAUUUUAGUUAGAAAUAAAAUAAGGGAUUAAUUUCUGGUAAAAAUAUAAUUUUUUGUACCUUUAUUUCAUUUUUAAUAAUUUACAAUAAUAAAAUAUAUAAUUUUAUAUUAUUAAUUCGUAUACUUAAUUCAUUCUCUAAUUUAUUUACGUUUGUAAAUUAUGAAUAUAAUUCAAUAAAAAAUAAAAAAAUUAAUUUUAGUAAUCAGCAUAAUAUAAAAUUUUAGUAUUAGCUUAACCAGAAUGUAAAAGAUUAAAAAAUAUUUUUUUUAUUUUCUUGGAUGGAUUAUAAGAGGAGGGUAAAAUUUUAACAGCAACACGACUUGAACUUAAAUCACACUUAGAGCGAUGAACAUCAUUGUCAUUAGGCCAACACAGGGGAUUCUUAGAAACAAUUUUUUAAUCACUCGUAGCAUAUAUUUCAAAUGUAAAAGGAAAAGAGAAGAAAAUGAAAAUAAAAAAUCAUCACCAAAAUAACACCAACAUUGCAAUAGGCAACCCAGUGUUAGCUUACAUACAAUAUUUUAAUAUACAUAUGUUUUGCUGGAAAACUUGCUUUGUAUCUCCCUUACCAAAUAUAUGAAUAUUUGACUGAUAAAAUAUUAUAUUAUACAAUCAAAUUAGGGAAUUUUUUUUUCUGAAAGAACUGUGGCUAACCCUAAAAAAUUGGGAUUGUAGGUUUUUUUAGAAUAGGAUUUUUAUUUAUGCAAGAUUUGGCUAACCCCUGAAAAGUGCCUCCAAAUUGCCCUCGAAUCUCCAUCCAAAAGCCUUGUUUAUUGCCCCAUUGCUUUCCUCCAAAAUAUUGCUGGUCCAUCGUCAAAAUAGCCGCUGAUCGCUCGCUCAAAUAGUUGUCGAUAUUGGAUAUCGGUUAGCUAAGUUAAAUUAGGUGUUUAAUUUCUUGUGAUAUAUUUGGUUUUUAAUUUCAAAGUAGAGUUAGAUAUAUAUAUAUUUGGUAGUUUAAAAUGUAUUAGAUUACUAUUAAGUUGUAAACUACUUAGCGUUUGGAUUUUUAAUUUCAUACAUCAAAUAUAGAUGAUUCGUAAGUUCAGAUCGAGCAACAUCACUAAAGAGUCCUCGCAAUCCUUAGUUUGUCACGAUGUUUUCACUUAGUUUAGCUUUGGCAUGUACUUAGGUCCAUCGGAUUUGUGAGUUAUUUUUAUAUUGGUUAAAUAUUUAGUUUAAGGAAAGCGAUCUUUGCGUGUUUGAAUUGAACGAUUAAUUUAUUCGAGCUUUUUAGUUUUAAAUUUGAUAAUUAAAUUUGUUAAAAUGAAUUAAUUUGUUAAUCGCAUUAAUUGAAUGAUUGAUCGAGUCCGAAUUUGACUGGACUCUCAAGUCAAGUUUGAGGUGUAACAAUUAAUCCCCAAAAUUGAUCGUAUGUAAGAAGGCUUUAGCUUCCUUCACCUUCCCACUUUUACAUAAACCUUUAAUGACCAUGUUGUGCACGAUAGUUUUACACUUCAAACCUUGCGUCUCUACAUAAUCCCAGAGAUUGAUCACCUCUUCUGUAAGAGCAGUUCUAGCUAAGCCCCUAACAAAGACACCGUAAGAAACAAUAUCAAAGGCUUGUGACUAUUCUCCAUUAUCUCCUUGAACAAGUUCAAUGCAUCUUUAGCUAUACCUUGAAGAAAAUAUCCAUUGAUUAAAGUGGUUUAGUAAAUAAUAUCAGGGGGAAAUUACCCCUUAUCUCAUCAAUCAAUCCUACAACUUCUUCCACUUUACCUACCUUAUAGAGAGCAUCAGCCACUACGUUAAGAAAUAUCCCAAAUAUGUUCUUCCAUGCAUAUAAAGCCCUUCGAUAUAGCCAUAUCAACUUUCCCACAAUGUAUCAAACGAUUCAUAAGAAAAUUGCAUGAGAAUACGCGUGCAAGGGUAACAAUUGCUUGCCUUUGAGUUCGAAACAACAUAUUAAUAACUUUACCAAACAUUAAUGUAUGCCUACACAAUAAAGUGAAAAGGAUUAUUCUCCUGACUUUUUCUUCAUAGGAAGGAUUAGGUAAUUUUAAACAAGAACUGAUGCAAACUAACUAUAACGGUGAUUUGGGGCUAAAAUACUUUCCUAUAACUCUCGAAUCUAAUAUAUUCAAGGCUUCCUCAGAUUUAAUGCAACUAGGUUUUUUGUAUUGGCUCAUUGAAGUUCCUUUGGACACAUAGUAAUCCAUUAGUGCCUCAAAACUUUCUUGCUUUACCACCCUAAUCUCCAAAGCUGCAAUUAUGUUCCUUUCCCUAUAGAUUUUAUAUGUAUAAUGCAAUGACUCUUCCAUUCUAGAGCAACACUCUACCAUUAUCUUUGGGUCAAGUUCUUUGCAAUGCUUGCCUUCUUUUCCCUUGAUCUCCCAAAAUAAGACAUAGUGACCUGGUGCUGAAGAAGUAUCAACGUAGCUAGUGUACUCUGUCAAGAUGAAUCCCAGUGGAUCGAGAAGAGCCUUUGCUUCUGUCACAGCCUUGAAAAGGUCUGUUUCGCUUGUUUUUUCCUGAUCAACACUUAGAAUAACAUUUUUCCUCUCCACAAAUUGGAAUUGAGGUGCAUUAUUGUAGAAACCACUCACCAUAAGAACAUCUCCAACUUUAUAUCGAUAUAAUCCUGAAAGAAAGAAAGAAAGGAAUAUCAUCAAACUAGAUUAGAUCAUUAUCUAACAGGUUAAUGUAGGAACUAGGAAGCAUAAUGCAAAUUAGAACAUGGCAUUUGAUUAAUUGAUUAUAUUCAAAACAGGAACUUUUACCUGCACAGGUUGUGACAACUAGUUCAUAACACUGACCAGCCUUCACAUUUACAAGAUCAACAAGUUCAGUAUCUUCAUUGUUGCUCUUCAUUUCAAUAGAUCCAUCACCUUCAUUCUUUACUGGAAGGAAUUCGAAGUAAGCCAUGUUAGGGAGAAAUGUGUAGGAGACAUCACAAGGUUUGCGUAGAGGUUCUAAGUUAAUCCCACAAAUAGCUUCCGAGCAAGCAUAUAAAGCUGAAACUAAAGGGAGCCCUCUGCAAUAGAACUCGAGUUCUGUAGUAUACUGUCUCAUAAUGCCAGUACAAAUGCACCAAAUAUACCUUGCUUUAGGCCAUAACUUUCUGAUUAUUCCUUCCCAUGAUUUACAAUUACAUAUAGUUUCUAUCAAGUCAGCCUGUUCUGGAUUAGGCUUCAUGACCAAUGAUGCUGCAUUUCUGCAUCCUGAGUCGGUGAUCCAAUCGCUUAAUCGACCUGUUUUUAUGUCAUAGCAUAGCUCUUGCCAGUGAUUUUCUAGAAACUUGAUACCUCUUAACACUGUAGAUGCAAAGACUGAACCAACCUUGACAACCUCGUCUCGUUGGAUUAAACCAAAAAGUAAUUGACAGUAUAAGCCCUGGUUGGGGUCUGGGCAAAAGAUGGUCUCAACGGGGCUUGUGUAAAGCUUAGGCAAAUUGGCUCUAAAAUUACACUCGUUGUAUAUGCUCGUUGAAACAGAUGCUGCCUUGAGGCCACUAGGAGUUUCAAUCUCUGGUCUGGCAAACAUAAGCUCCAGUCCUUUACCGGCUUGGUUGAUGUCACCAAAGUGCCUUUAAAAUUAGACGGAUAAAGGCAAAUAGUUAGUUUUAGGACUAAGUUGCCGUUGUAAAUGCAAAAAGCAAGAAAAGCAACUAUGUAUAUAAUAGCUAUAUAUGUACAAGUAGUAUUUACUAAAUACGGGUGUUACUAUCUGCGUGGUAUAUUAUACAUAUAUGCAUAUUAUAUGCAUUUGCUUAAUCUGGUAACUUUUAUACAUAUAUUCACAAGCAGCUGAAAGAAAAACUAGAAGAAAAUAGGGAUGGGUUCCUUACUUCAUCGCAGGAGACUCGUACAAGCCACGAAAUAAUUCCCACUUAUUAACAACUUGAGCAGUGACAGGCAUCAGCUUUGGCUGCCCGCCUGAAGUCCCAGAGCUGCAUUUGAUCAAACAGAUGAUAGAACUAUUAGAAGGAACCAAACAGUACCCCGAAACACACAGAAACAAAGCAACAAAUUCAUGCAUGCCUUAAAAAGAACCCUGUAAUGGGUUCAGCUAAAAGGAUAUCUGAUGUCUCCCCAUUAGCAAUCCUAUCUAUGUAAGGCUUGAGAUCUUCAUAAGUAACUAUGGGAACAUUUUUCUUAAAGAGCUGCUUCUCGGUUUGACCAUGGAGGAAUCCCCUUAAAUACUCUGUUCCUGCAUUUCGACUUAGUAUUUCCCCCAAUACCUCUUCUUGAAUUUGCUCAGCAUUUGUGGUCAGUUCCUCAAUCAUCUUCAACUCUCCUUCAUACCCAUUCGCUGCCAUCAACCCUAUUACUGAGAUCCAGACAGCUUUUUCUGUUUUCUUUUUGGGGAUGUUCUAGCUAUUGGCAAUGGAAUCUCUACCUACGCUAAAUAUAAUAAGAGAUUCAUGGGACUUGACCCACACAUGUCGGCAGGCAUAAUAAACAAUGUGGCAUCAAUGAAAUGAUUAAAACGUGAAUUAGUAAUAUAUUAAAACUAAGCGUGGAUAUAAAAUAAUUAUAAGAAAGUUGUAUUUAAUGGAAUUGAGUACCAAUUUAUGCCUCUUCCAAUCUUCAAAAGCCAAUGUAACAGCUAAUUUUACGCCGAAAGUGGUGUAGUUGAUAUGAUUUAUAUAAUUUUGUGUCAUCAAUUAUAUCUUACUUUGUUUAAGGCUUUGUUUGUUUACCUGUAAAAUAUGUUAAGGAAAAUAUUUACAUCUUUUUUCACUGUUUGUUUGAUAGAAAAUGAAUUCUCACCGUAAAACCUUCUCCAAAACACGAGAAAAGAAGGCUUUAUUUUAGGAAAAUAUCUAAACAUUUUCAUUUGGUAAGACAUUUUCCAAAAUUUUUUUCUUAAGCAGUAAACUAACCCAAAGCCUCUUUCCAAUUCCCCCUUCCUUCCCACUCUGGUCUAGUGCUUGCAGUCAGCCAGCAACGGUUCCCAACACCAGUCAUCGGCAUUCACCUUUGAUUUUCCUUCUUUUUGCCUUUCGUUGUCGAAAUUUCCACUGCACCAAUCAACGAUGGUGUUCAUCUUCCUCUCUCGAAGGUAAGAAUGAAAAAAAGGAAGAAAUAUGUGGUUGUUUUUUAGUAGCAACAUGUUGUUUUGGCCCAAUUGGUUGCUGGUUAAUCCCUCUUUUAUAUUUUUUUAUGGUUUUUGUUAUUUUUACGUUUCAUCUUCCUUGAACUGUGCAAGCUGGAUUCUUGUUGGUGGUAAUGGAAUAAUUAAGAUAUGGUAAUGGUGGUGGUGGCUGAGGCACAACUAAUGAGCAAAAACUCAAAGUCUUUAAGUUCACACAUUAUUUGUUCAAAAUGAGAUUAGUGGGCAUGAUUUUGUUUUCUUCCCUUUCUUUUUUCUUCCAAUAGAAAUCAAUUUUGUUUUCCCCUCUUUCUUGGGGUAAAAAAGAACCUUUUUUUCUUAUAUAAAUAAUUGAUUAGCUCGAAUUUUGACCCAUUAUGGUACAUUUUCUCUAUUUACCCUUCUCUAAUAAUUGAUCUAAUGAAUCAAUUGCAUGUUUUUUCUUCUCUUUUUGUAUUCAUUUCGAUGAAUUAUUGUAAACUUUUAGGUAAUUCAGAUUCGUAAUGCAACAAGAUUUUGGUUAGUAAUUUCCUGAUAAUCUGCUGCAGAAGUUAUGGGUGUUAUUGUCUUGGACAUAAUUUUGUUUUAAGUUAAAAUGAUCUGUGUUGACACCAAUUUUUUGACAAUACGGGAUCGACUUGGAUUUUGAAAAUGAAAAUGAAAAUGGGAGUCGCUACCAAUCCUUUUUGAUGAGGUGUAAUCGGAAGACGUCGAAAAGUAAUUGUUUUUAAUAAGCGAUUUGAUUUUAUUAAAACAAUGAUUUUGGUCUACGAAAUUCAGAAAAAUAGGUUCGGGAGUCGGUUACGUACGAAAUUAGUGUCUUAAUGUCGAAGAUUGAAAAUUUUGAAAAGUUUUAAAAAUACAAUCCUUAAAAAAAACUCGAAUAACAUGGGUUAGAAUUUAGGAUUCUCUUGUUCUGAAAAAAUAUCACAUCCAGCACGUUAGGAUACGAUACUUUAAACCCUCGAAACCAAGAUCACCUUAUGGUUUUCAAAACCAAUACUUUGAAAUUUUAAGAGUAUAUUUGACUAUUUGGUCAAACGAGAAAUCGAAACUCAGCACGUUACGGCACGUUUUCUCAAAUUUUCAAACGCAAAAUAUUACAUUAUUUAGAAAAAUUUCCUUUUUUGAAUUUGGAUAAAAAUUAUGAAAUAUUUAAAAAUAAUAUAUAUACAAUUUGAAUAUAUUAUUUAAAAAAUUUACUUGAAAUGAAAAGGGGUCAUACAUAACUAAUAGUAAAUAACCAUAACAUGACAUGCAUAAUAGAAUAAUUAUAUAGCCUUAAUACUAACAAACCCUAAUGCAAACAUACAUGAAUAAAAGUAAUGAUACAAAUGGCAAUAUAUUAGUAACAGCAAUAACGACGACAACCAUAAAAAUAACGAGCCCAAAGUUUUGAAAGCAUAUAAAAAAAUAGCAAAUAAAUAAAUAAAUAAAUAAAUAAAUAAUGGAAUAACAUGGCACUAAUGAUGGUAAAAAUAAUAUAAACAAGCCAAUCAGAUAAUAAUAAUAAUAAUAAAAUAAAAAACUAAUAUAAGUUAGAUUAAAAGUUAAAGACAAGUAAAUAAAUAAAUAAAUAAAUAAAAUGUUAAAUGGAAUAUUUAAUAAAAUCUUUUUUAUCUAAAAAUAAUAAACAACAAUUGAAAUUAAAUAUGUUAAGGAUUAAACUGAAAUCUGAAUGAAAUUUCGAAAGUUUAAAUUGUAAACAAAUAGAAAAAGGGGUGGUUUGGGACUAAAAUGGGACACGCUCAAAGGAUGAGGGACCAACUAGGCAAUUUUCUAGCCUCGCAGUGCAGCGUUUCAAUGCGGGCCAAAAUGAAACAAAUGUAUAAUUUAUGUGGCCAAAAUAAAAAUAAACAAUAGGGACCAGAUUGCACCACGGCGCGAAAGCGGAGGAAUCUAUUGCGCAAAUAUCCCCCUAAUUGAAAACAAGCGAAUCCUCUCUGGUGGGUCGGGUCGUGCGUGGGUCAGAGACCAAAACGACAUUGUUUUGGUCUCUGAACCCAAACUCCAAAACAGUGUCGUUUUCUAAUGCUAUAAAAUCCAAAAAAAAAAAUUUAAAUCCUUCAUUUUUUCUUUUCUUCUAAAAAAAACAAAACUUUCUCUCAACUCAAACCCUCCCUCAAAAUCCAGCCUAGGUUUCCGGCCGUGGCCGCUGCCGUAGAGCCACGUGGCCGGUGGCUGGUGUUGCACAAAAAAAGUGUUUCAGCCUCGUUUCACAGUGCACUCCUAGGCCCGACCCUUUUCAACCCGAGAGGCCAAAAGAAAAAAAACUAUACCCCUUCUUUAAGCCCGAUUUAGACGACGGCGCAAGGAGUUCCGUCAAUGGAACCACUGGGCGAUUUAGGUACGUUCCUAUUUUCUUUUUAUUUUUGUAUAAAAUAAAUAUAAAAAAACAAUAUAUUUGAAAAAAACCUUUCAAAAAGUUUUAACCUUUUCUCUUUUUUGUAUUUCUUUUUAAUGUCUUCGUACAAAAAGAAGCCCCCAUUUUUCUUUUUACAACAUUCAACUUUAUAGCCGAAAGAAAAUAAAAACUCAAUUUUUGCUAUUGUUUAGUCUUGUCUACUUCUGCUUCUCUUGUUGCGUGUUUGCAGGUGACCGUGUAGCAGUGGCAGGAGGCGUCAGACGCACAUAGUAGCAAGUGGCGCGGCGCUGGAGGAGGGACUAGGGUUCUGAAACCCUAGUUCCUAUUGGGUUUGGGCCAUAUUUGUAUUUAACAAAACCAUAUCUGAUAUUGUAAAUAGAUUCAUGAUCACAACAAGACAACUAAUACCUUUGUAUUUUCUAAAAGAGAACUUAAUCAUUGAUUUUAGUAUAAGUUUACGUUUGUUUGUUGGUUUGUAGAUGUAUUUUGAUUCAAUUGAAUGAUAGUGUUUAAUUUUGUGUCCUAGGUAAUCACUCCCGUUUUUCAUAUGUAUUAUACAUCAUUUGUUUGUUGGUCUGUACAUGUAUUUGUGUUGCUGUUACGAGCAUUUCUUGUUUAUACAUUUUGAAUUGGCUCAAGUUUUCUUAUACUUCUUGCUCGUACUUAUUGAUUUGUAAUUUCAAUGAUUGUUUUCUGACCUUGUUUGAUUGAUUCUCUUUUAUGUCAGGCAGCUCGUUAUUGCUUUAGUUAGUGUUCCUUUGUUUGAGAUAUUCCUUACGAAGAAGUGACAUGGAUGGAGUUAGAAGGAUUUAAUGACGACUUCUUUUGUAGUGUAUUUGAUUAUCUUGUGGGUUAUAAAUCUAAGGCCAAAGCUUUUUUAACUAAAAGUACGAAGCAUAGAAAAAUUUGACUUCAAAAAUUUUCACAAGGUUGAAUAUAUUGAUGCUUUAAUAUGGUGUAGUACUAAUUAUGUGGUCUAAUACUAGUUAUGGACUUGGAAAAUAUUGUAGUUACCAUGUGAUAUACUACUAAUUAUGCACUUGGAUAAUAUUAUUAAUUUGUAGUAUUAAUUGUGGUUUGGAAGCUAAUUUAUUAUUAUUAUUUAAUCUUUGUUUUUUAUAACACAAUUAGUAAUCAUCUAUUCGCUUUGGUUGUUUUCAAUUUUUUUAUUGUUAAUAUUCGAGCUUAAUAAUCCAGUACUAUGAUAUAUUUAACUUAAUGUAUUUAUUUAUGAAUAAAUCAUUGCAAUAUAUAUAAAAAUAAUGUAAAUAUAAAAUAAACUCAAUUAAACAAUGAAAUAAUAAUAAAUUCUCAAAUGUUUGUUUUAUUUAAAAUAGUUUUCCUAAAAUAUUUUCAGGAAAUCUGCCAAACAACAGAAAAUAUUUUACACAGAUUCAUCCAAACACCAGAAAAUAUUAACUUUUCUAGAAAAGUAAGUUAUUUUUCAGAAACCAUUUUUAGUCAACCAAACAGACCCUAAGAUUCAAUCCUGAUUACUUUUUAAUAUAUAUAUUAACUAAGGUGCCCUUUGUUGACUUUUGACUACCCUUAUUUAAAUAAUGAAUUUGGAACAUGCUUUAUUAAUAUUUAAAUAAAUAUAAUUAUAUUUAUAAGAGAAUGUUUAUAUUCAUUCAUAUGUAAGGUGGCUUAUUCACAAAGGUAGAUAGACAAUGCCUUUCUGAAGGGAGUGGGUAGUUCAUUUACAAUAAUGAAUGACUUAUCCUCGAGAGGUCAAAACCCUUCCGAAAAGAUUGGAAGGUUGAAUGGGGCAUGCCCUCCAUGAUGUGGAUCGUUUGAUUAGUACCUUGGUAGUGGAAAGCAAAGAACUACCUUCUCAAGUGAUUUGCUAUACUGACUCCUGUUCAAAGAUAGAGGGCUAUAAUAAAGGCCAAAUUACUAAUAAAAGCCCAUUUUUUUAAUAAUUACGGAAAUGGGCCGGUUUUUUAAUUAUUUACCGGAAUGGGCCAUUUUUCGCGAAAUCGCAGCCACGUCAGCGCGAUGUCGGGGUACAUGACAGGAGAUCGCGUCCACGUCACGAUUUCCUUCCACGUCGGCAGGUCGCGCUGACGUGGACGCGAUUUGCCCCGCGCGUGCCAACGGUAACUUUUUUUUAACUAUAUAAACCCCCCACCCAUUUUAUUUUCACAAACAAAUUCUCUCAAUUUCUUCAAAAAUUCUCUCAAUUCCCUUCAAAAAUUCUCUCAAUUGCCUUUCAAAAUUCUCUCAAACUCUCAAAUUCCUUCCAAAAUCCUCUCAAUUUCCUUCAAAAAAUCUCCAAAUCCAUAUUAAAUUUAUUUUUCCAUUAAAUUUCAUUUUUUAAGAAAAUUAUACAAUUUUUUAUUUUUUUUAAAUAAUUUUAAAAUUUUUAAAAUUUUCAACAAUGGCCGGAUCAUUGAUUCGUCUUGAUAGGAAUCACAUAUCGGUGGAGCAAAUGAACAUGGUAAGUAUUAAAUUUAAAUUUUAAAUUGUAUUUAAGAUAUUUUUAUUUAUGUAUUUUUAGAUAUUUAUUAAUUUAUUUUUUGUUAUAAAAGGAUAAAGAUCGCGUAUUGGAAUGCAAUAUUCGGAAUAUGCAUGCUCCUCCAUCACCGUUAGUAGAGAACUACCUCCGGGAAGCGGGAUUUUGGCACGUGGCGACGGUAGGCCGGGGAUGCAAGUUGGAGCCGAAACUGAUCAGUGCGUUGAUCGAGAGGUGGAGACCCGAGACGCACACAUUUCAUCUUCCAUGUGGAGAGUGCACUAUAUCACUUUAGAAGAUGUCCAUCUACAUUUGGGAUUGCCGGUGGACGGGCACCCAGUGACCGGGUCUGCCCAAUCUAGUAAUUGGGAGGCGGUGUGCUACGAGCUUUUGGGCGCCGCUCCGGAUAAAAUGGAUGGAGAUAAGGUGGAGAUGGGCUGGUUACGUGCGACCUUCCCCGAUCUGAAUGAAGAUUCAACCGAAAUUGAAAGACUCCGAUAUGCUCGAGCAUACAUUCUUCAAAUAAUUGGAGGCUAUCUCAUGGCCGACACGUCACGGAGCCGUGUACAUCUAAGGUGGCUGCUAAAACUUGUUGAUUUUAGAGGAGCCGGUGAAUUUAGUUGGGGGUCUGCCGUCUUGGCAACAUUAUAUCGGGAGAUGUGUGGCGCGACGAAACUGAGGAGAGCAAAAAUCGGAGGAUGUCUGUCACUACUGCAAUCAUGGGCACGGUUUCGCUUUCCAUUUCUACAUCCUCGAGUGAACCACCCAUAGACAUUCCCACUCGUAACGAGGUAAAUUUUAUAUUACAUUUUGAAAUUGUUAUGUAGAUUUUGUAAGAAUAAAAGUAUGCUAAAAAUUUAUUUAGUUAGGUGGAACCAUCCGGCGAGUUAUCGUGGAUUACCGUCCGAACUUGAAGAUAUACGGCUUCUAUUGGACCAACGGUCGGAAGCAGAAGUAAGUAUUAUUGCAAAUAGAUAUUUCCAUACAUUCGCUAGUGGAUUGAUAUUUAGUAUUAUGUAUAUAAGUAAUAUUUCUAUCAUGUUCAUGUAGUUUCAAUGGACACCAUACGAGGAUCCGGCAAUCCGGGCAGUAAUCCCGGAAGAGUUUUUACAAAACCCUAACUCUUGGCACGUGAAAGUGGUGUUGAUCAACUACGCAACUGUGGAGCCCCACCAGACAGACAGAGUCCUACGACAGUUUGGAUGUAGACAACCGAUCCCUGCGGACCCUGAGGUGUUUGACGAGCACCACAAAAUCGACCUUCGGCUAUUAGGUACGGAUUGGCCUAGAUACUGGUCAGACUACACGGAAAUGUGGGAAAAUCGGCAUGAGUAUCUACCUACUCGGGAACAAAUCAUCGUUCCCGAGUUAGCGUGCGUUCCAGAAUACAUGCCAUGGUUUAGGAUCCAUGGGAAGCCGUAUUUACUUACGCCAGAGGAGAGGCGGCGGCAAAUACGUGUCGAAAGGGAAAGGCGCGAGCCUCUAAAUCCAAGGGGACAAGAGUACGAGGACAGCCCAUCAACGAGGCCCAGACAGUCAGCCGGCUCAUCAUCAACGGCCAUGGAAGCACCGUCCCCAACGAGAGCACCGACGCAGACACCUGAUGCAGCAAUUCAACAGAUGAUACCCACGCAAUCGCCUUUCUCUAUGAUGCCAGGUAAGUUUCCUAGCCCUUAUAUGUACCUUAACCCGUACAUGUAUCCUUUUCCGAAUCCUAUGGCAGGUUGGAACCAAAUGCCCGGAUCAGCUCCAUUUCCUGUAAUGCCGAGCGGACCACCGAUAACUAGGCCAUCGCCGCAGGAGGGGUCGCAAGGGGGGCUGUCGGGGAGCUCUCCUUUUUACCAAUCGCCAGCAACACAUGGCUUUCAAACUCCAUCGCCGUUCAUGAUGCAAACACCUCCACAUUCACUAUUCUUUGAAGGUGGAUCAUCGUCCCAAGUCUGACAAGCGGAUGCCGAACCGGAAGAACAACAAUCACCACCCGAGGAAGAACAACCGCCGCCGGAAGCUAGAGGAAGGAGGAAUCCAGCGCGUAACCGUCGACGGCCGCCAUGUGGAACCAAAUCCCCCGGUCAUAGACAUUGACUAUCGUAUUAACAUGUAUCAAUACCCAUGUAAUGAAAUAGAAGUUAAUGACGAUGUAAUACACAUAGAAAUUUUUCCGAGUUUGUUUGACAUUAUUUGAUUAAAAACCCUAACCUAACCUAAUUGAAUUAAAAACCCUAACCUAAUUGAAUUAAAAACCCUAACCUAACUUAAUUUAAUUAAAAACCCUAAAACCCUAACUUAAUUUAAUUAAAAACCCUAACCUAACUUAAUUUAAUUAAAAACCCUAACCUAACCUAAUUUAAUUAUAAACCCUAACCUAACAUAAUUUAAUUAAAAACCCUAAAACCCUAACUUAAUUGAAUUAAAAACCCUAACCUAACCUAAUUUAAUUAAAAACCCUAACCUAAUUGAAUUAAAAACCCUAACCUAACCUAAUUUAAUUAAAAUUAAAAACCUAACUUAAUUUAAAACCCUAACCUAACUUAAUGUAAAACCCUAACCCUAAGCUAAUAAACCCUAACCCUAACAUACAACAGCGGAUUUGAUAAUCUUACUAACCAUUCAAGAAAUUGUAGUUUUACAUAAUGUUGGAUUUCGUAAACUGUUUUGACUGGUACUAACAUUUAAGAAAUUGUAGUAAUUUGAUAAUUUUACUAACAAUUAAUACAAUUAUCAAUUAAUAAUUGAAUAAAAUGUAGCUUUUUCUAUAAUUGAAUAAAAGGUAGCUUUUUCUAUAAUUACAUUCAACUAUUGCGAUUAGGGCAUGAUCGACUUGAAUGGCCUGGGUUCCUACACCAUCCGCACAAUUUCUGUUGACUAUCUGUUUCUCGGAUAUCCAUAUUGUUCCGUAUUCUACUGGAGCAAGGUCGACCCUUCGGCUUGCGACGCAAUUCUCUAUCCGGUAACAGCUUAAAAGGAGCAAGAGAUACGGGCGGCCACUUACGUUCAUCUGGGACCGGUGGGAAAACGUGUCUCCAUACGUUGUACAUGUUUUCUAAUUUGUACACUUCGUCCACAUAACUAAGCGGAUCCAGGCGGAGUUUCUGACAGGCUAUAAUAACAUGAGCGCAUGGAUAACGAAGUGCAUCGAACUUCCCACAGUCACAAGUCCUGUUUCGCAAGUGUACACGAUAUUGCCCGCCAACAACACCUUGGUGCGGUAUGUCGAACUCCGUCACGCGAAACCAUAAAUUGUCUCAAUCGUGACACACAGCGUGCAUGAUGUUUGCCCUCGCCUUCGCCUUGUUAAUUUCUUGAACUACCUUACUGCACCAUACAUGCCCACCCUGCAUCUGGCCUGCAUAAGUUGCUGCUCGCUUUGGAAAUAGCGCCGCCAAACGGAAAUAUGUCUCUCGUACAACCGCUGUUAUCAGUAGAUGGCGCGUUCCUUUAAGAACAGAAUUUAUGCAUUCCGCCAGGUUCGACGUCAUAUGGCCAUAUCGUAGGCCUCCGUCGUAUGCUUGUGCCCACUGUUCGAAACGUAUAUUACAAAGGUAGUCUGCCCCUUCUAUGUUUUGGGAUCGCAAGAUUGCCAACAUCUCAUGAAAACAAUCUUUAUUCAUUUCAUAUCCUACCAAUAUAAGAACAUAGCGAAUAUUUUAUACCGCUUCUAGCAAUAAAACUAAUUCAAUUUGACAAACGAAAUAAUACAGUUAUACAGUAAAUACCCAUGUUGGUCACUUGUCGUCGUUCCGUCUUAGACGGAUAUUGCCUGUAGUAGUUCGAAGCAACGUGUCUCAGGCAAUAUCUAUGGUGUGUACGCUGCCAUAAGCUUCCCUCCCGAUCAAAUGCAGCUAGUAUCCCGGCGCCCCGAUCUGAAAUAACACAGAUAUCAGGUUGGGGGCACACAUGCAUCCUUAACCUAGAGAGAAAGAAAUCUCAGUCAUCAGACGACUCCCCCGGUGUUAUUGCAUAUGUAAUUGGAAGAAUUCUCCCACCGCCGUCCUGUGCCACUGCAACCAAUAGCCGAUGAGUGUACCUACCGAACAUGAAGGUACCGUCAAUUUGUACCAACGGCUUGCAGUACGGAAAUGCGUCUCGGCAUUGCUUAAAGGUCCAAAAUAGGCGUUUGAACACUUGGCAUCCACGUAGCAAUCGGCCGUUGUAGUACGCAUGUUCCGUUUGAAGGUCUGUGAUGGCACCUGGGACGUAUCUCUCUAGCACCUGACACCAUUGUCAUAUUUCAUUAUAUGAGGCGUCCCACCCACUAUGCAUCUUCUCCAAUGCCUUUUGCUUAGCUAUCCAAGCCUUGCGGUAAGAGGGCGUGUACCCCAUUUGGCUACGGAUAUUGGCAAUUAUCACCGGCACUGAAGUUCGAGGAUCUGCUUUUAUCGUGGGUAGUAUCAAGCUAGCCAACAUAGCUGAAUCCAUUUUUGGAUGAUCUUCUGAAACACCUACAGAGGGAGGGAGUACAUUAAAUAAUGCAACAUUAGAAAAUAAAAAUAUUAUUCAGAGACAUGCUCAAUUGUACCUGCAGCACAUGUAUGUGGACCUCUGUACUUUUUUAUCUCCCACAACCCUGUCCUCUUCCUUAACGAGGCGACGACUUUCCAUGAACAUGUGCUGUCUUACACCGCACACUUCGCCUCAAACUUUUCAGAUUUUGAUUUAACGACGUGGUAAUUAACGUCGUUUUUGAUGCUAUGCUGUUUCAAAGCACCAAUAAAACUAUCCUUAUUGGUAAAUUGAUUACCAACUUCAAGUUCACCGAGAUCUACCCCCAAACUUGUACGAUCACGCACCCGGUGUGGUAGAUUUGGAAACUCUAACGCAUCAUCAUUUGACAGAUCGACAUUAUGCAUGUGGGCUGGAGGUGAGUAUGCUCUGAAUCGUGGAUUUUCUUCAUCAUCUGCACUCCUAUCACCAUCUUCACCUUCUGUUGGAAUAGGCUCCGGUUCAGAAAAUAAUCCCACCUCUGCACCAUCCGGCCCGGGCUCUCGAGGUGAAUCAACAUCAGAGUCACCUUCUGACCCACAAUCAUCUGCAGCGUACGACGUCCCCUCACCGGUUGAUGUCGUAGGUAGUACGUCAUCCCUUCUUCUGGGCAUUUGAUAACGUCCCCAAUUGGAUGUAGAUUGCCAUCUAGUAGAACUUGAUGCAGAACCCCAGCUCGUAUUUCCUGCGUCAAACGUCGAGCCACCGACGUACAUGUCCCAUCCAUCGACAGAGUGUCUUGGGGGGGAAGUGCAUUCGACACCGCUACCGAACAUAGGCUGUUCCGUAUUUUGUAACACGCUAACCGAGUGUCGGCCAGGGGUCGUGUAUACAUCUCGAACACCGGACAGAAGUACAUUAUUUGGCGACGUAAACUGUACAUAUAACUCAAUAUAAGUUGCUCCGCUAGCAAGAUGAGUCUGCACCAUUGCCUCCAAGCUACGAGCACCUUUUACGUCGAACGAGUCAUAUGUCACCGGAUCAACAGAAGAACAAAAUCGAUACGUCAUUGACAGAACUUUCAUUGGCGUCGUUCCGAAGAUUUUACGCCUAAUUCUUUUACAAAGUUCUGUCAAAUCUAUGUUUUGGCUAAAUGACAGUCGCACCGUAUUCUCCGACAAAAAAAUAACACCAUUCUCGGUGUGGCAAACCUCACCAUCGUAGUAAAUAACAGCACUAAUACGUUCACUCAUUUUGAAACUCUAAGUUUCUUAGCCUCUCUAAAAUGUUUCUGCUGUGAGUUAUGCAUUCUAUGGAACAUUUUCUGCCUAAUUUAUAGCCUCAGCCCAAACUUGCUACUAUAGCAAAAUCGCAUCCACGAGGGCGCGAUUUGACACUAUUUGCUCAGAAACGUCAAAAAAAUUAUUUCCAAAAUGACAAACUGUAGCGAAAUCGCGUCUACGAGGGCGCGAUUUAACAAUUUCUGCCUAAUAUAGCAUCCUUGUAUCAGCGAUUUUAUACUAUUUGCUCAGAAAACGUCAAAAAAAAUUUAUUUCUUACAUGACCACUAUAGCGAAAUCGCGUCCACGAGGCCACGAUUUCACAAUUUCUUCUCAAAUAGCAUCCUAGUAGAAGCGAUUUCCCACUAUUUGACCGGAUACGUCAACUCGAAAAUUUUUUUCUCAGGACCCCUAACCCCUAAAAAGCCUGCACCCUAAACCCUAAAAGCCAGAAAACACAAACGUAAAAUCAGCGUCAAAAUCGCGUCCCCGGUACCGCGCUACGUCGGUAAAUCGCGUCCACGUCAGCGCGAGCUGCUGACGUGGAAGGAAAUCGCUUCCUCAAGGACACGAUUUCCUUCCACGUCGGCAGGUCGCGCUGACGUGGACGCGAUCUCCUAUCAUGUACCCCGACAUCGCGCUGACGUGGCCGCGAUUUCGCGAAAAAUGGCCCAUUCCGGUAAAUAAUUAAAAAAACUGGCCCAUUUCCGUAAUUAUUAAAAAAAAGGGGCUUUUUUUGGUAAUUUGGCUUAUAAUAAACUUAAUUUAAAAAAGAAAGUAUUUUGAAACUGAAAGAGCUAAUCAAAAACUCAAAAUACUUCCUUUUCUUUUAAUUAUAUUUAAAGUGACUCCCUUUUUAGAAUUAAGUUUUAAUAAUAAAUUAUAUUAAUUAAUAAAUACAAUAAAAUAAAUAUCAUUUUAAUUUACAUUUGUUUUUUAAACAAGCAAAUUUAUUAUUUCUUCUCAUUUUAGUUAAGAAUAAAAUAAGGGAUUAAUUUUUGGUAAAAAUAUAAUUUUUUAUACCUUUAUUUCAUUUUUAAUAAUUAUAUUUCUACAUUUACAUUUGUUUUUUAAACAAGCUCGUUAUGUCCUCGAAUGAUUCAUAAGAAAAUUACAUGAGAAUACGUUAUAAAGAGCAUAUAAAGUGGUGUAGUGAAUAAUAUCAGGGGGAAAUUACCCUUCAUCUCAUCACCCAAUUCUACAACUUCUUCCACUUAACCUACCUUAUAGAGAGCAUCAGCCACUACGUUAAGAAAUAUCCCAAAUAUGUUCUUCCAUGCAUAUAAAGCCCUUUCAUAUAGCCAUAUCAACGUUCCCACAAUGUAUCAAACGAUUCAUAAGAAAAUUUACAUGAGAAUACGCGUGUAACAAUUGCUUGACUUUAAGUUCGAAACAAGAUAUUAAUAACUUUACCAAACAUUAAUGUAUGCCUACACAAUAAAGUGAAGGAUUAUUCUCCUGAGUUUUUAUACAUAGGAAGGAUUAGGUAAUCUUAAACAAGAACUGAUGCAAACUAAUUAUAACGGUGAUUUGGGACUGAAAUACUUUCCUAUCACUCUUGAAUCUAAUAUCUUCAUGGCUUCCUCAGAUUUAAUGCAACUAGGUUUUUUGUAUUGGCUCAAUGAAGUUCCUUUGGACACAUAGUAAUCCAUUAGUGCCUCAAAACUUCCUUGCUUUACCACCCUAAUCUCCAAAGCUGCAAUUAUGUUCCUUUUCCUAUAGAUUUUAUAUGUAUAAUGCAAUGACUCUUCCAUUCUAGAGCAACACUCUACCAUUAUCUUUGGGUCAAGUUCUUUGCAAUGCGUGCCUUCUUUUCCCUUGAUCUCCCAAAAUAAUACAUAGUGACCUGGUGCAGAAGAAGUAUCAACGUAGCUAGUGUACUCUGUCAAGAUGAAUCCGAGUGGAUCGAGAAGAGCCUUUGCUUCUGUCACAGCCUUGAAAAGGUCUGUUUCGCUUGUUUUUUCCUGAUCAACACUUAGGAUAACAUUUUUCCUCUCCACAAAUUGGAAUUGAGGUGCAUUAUUGUAGAAACCACUCACCAUAAGAACAUCUCCAACUUUAUAUCGAUAUAAUCCUGAAAGGAAUAUCAUCAAACUAGAUUAGAUCAUUAUCUAAGAGGUUAAUGUAGGAACUAGGAAGCAUAAUGCAAACUAGAACAUGGCAUUUGAUUAAUUGAUUAUAUUCAAAACAGGAACUUUUACCUGCACAAGUUGUGACAACUAGUUCAUAACACUGACCAGCCUUCACAUUUACAAGAUCAACAAGUUCAGUAUCUUCAUUGUUGCUCUUCAUUUCAAUAGAUCCAUCACGUUCAUUCUUUACUGGAAGGAAUUCGAAGUAAGCCAUGUUAGGGAGAAAUGUGUAGGAGAUAUCACAAGGUUUGCAUAGAGGUUCUAAGUUCAUCCCACAAAUAGCUUCCGAGCAAGCAUAUAAAUCUGAAACUAAAGGGAGCCCUCUGCAAUAGAACUCGAGUUCUGCAAUAUACUGUCUCAUAAUGCCAGUACAAAUGCACCAAAUAUACCUUGCUUUAGGCCAUAACUUUCUGAUUAUUCCUUCCCAUGAUUUACAAUUACAUAUAGUUUCUAUCAAGUCAGCCUGUUCUGGAUUAGGCUUCAUGACCAAUGAUGCUGCAUUUCUGCAUCCUGAGUCGGUGAUCCAAUCGCUUAAUCGACCUGUUUUUAUGUCAUAGCAUAGCUCUUG